rnacentral:tRNA from 1 species
GCCUGGGUGGCUUAGUUGGUUAAGCGUCCAACUUCGGCUCGGGUCAUGAUCUCAUGGUUUGUGAGUUCAAGCCCCACAUCAGGCU